rnacentral:lncRNA from 10 species
GCGACCUCUGAGGGCACUACUAUAGGAAGCUGAGGUUGAGAUGACUUCCAGUCCCUUCACCGUGGGUGGAGGGUUUUGACUUUCAUUUUUUCCUUAGUAACAAUGGUCCACUGUGUUCGGUGAGCUACAGGAUUCAUAGUCUUUCCCUCAGCAGCCUAAAAUCUUUGUUCCAAAUGAGAGAUGAAUCCAGGCCGUGUUCAUGCCUUUCCUGCCUUCUCUGCACCUGCACCUCUAGGAGACCCUCUCCAAUCCACUGUGCUGCCUCCAGUCACUCUUAAAACAUAAUCUUCUUGAUACCAUCAUUUUGGAGAUGAGAAAUGGCAACUACUUCAAAAUGAAUCUUCAACAGCAGUUGGAGGAGAUUUAAAGACAAUGCAUGCAUGAAGAUGGGCGUGAGAUGCCAGUAACUCCAUGAAUUAGAGUUUCACAUAAGCCAAACCCUCACAGAAUGUCUGCAAAAAAACCCAAGGAAGACGGGGAUAGUUUGACCUCAGCUGUCCACUGCUAGUGGAGAGUAUUUAAGAUAAUCAUUUUAGUAACUUUAGGAUACAAUUAUUUUUAGGAUCUUCCUGUGCUAUUGGCAGUGGGCUGUUUCUCAGUUUGCUGUUGAUUUUUGGUCAAUAGCUGUUACAUGUUACAUGAUCAGAUGUUAUAAUCAAUUAGUUUUAUAUUUUUUCUUUUAAUUGUUUUCCAUAUUGAAACCCACGUGUCAUAAUCUAAUAAUGCUGGAGCUGCAGAGUGUCUCUGAGUUUGAUUUUUGCAAAGACAUUGAUGCAUUUCAAGAAACUAAAGAUAAUAAUGGCAUGGAUAAUAAUUAUACAUUACAUUAAAAAGAAUUAACAGGCGUGGGGUGGUGACUCACGCUUGUAAUCCCAGUACUUUGGGAGGCUGAGGCAGGUGGACCACCUGAGGUCAGAAGUUUAAGACUAGCCUGGCCAACAUGGUGAAAACCUGUCUCUACUAAAUUACAAAAAUAAGCCGGGCAUAUUGGCUCAUGCCUGUAGUCCCAGCUACUUGGGAGGCUGAGAAACAAGAAUCAUGUGAACCUGGGAGGCAGAGGCUGCAGUGAGCCGAGAUCACACCACUGCACUCCAGCCUGGGUGACAGAGAGAGACUCUGUCUCAAAAUAAAUAAAUAAAUAAAUAAAUAAAUAAAUAAAUAAAAAUAAAAGGAAUUAACAAAGAAUUUCUUGAUGGUAAAAUCACCCGUGUGUUUAUAUCAGUGGCCUUUAUGGCUCUGUGUGUCUGUAUGGUGUGGAGAGUGUAUCCUGAGCUAUGUUCCUCUUAUUUUACCUAUAAGCACAUGAUCUGCUUUAUUAUUAUAUUUAAAUAUCCUUAUUGAAUUAUAGUAUGAUGUGCAUUCACAUACAUUUUAUGUAUUUCAAUAAAGACAAAGCGGAGGUUCAACUUAUCCCUUUGUAUGUAACUAACUGUCAUUGUCUGUUUGCCUCAUGGAUCUUAAAAGCCUUCAAGGUGAAGACCAAGCUAAAAUUAUUGAUGUAUCCCCAAUACUCAUAAUAACAUCCUGUCCAAAGUGAUAGCUUAAUAACAGUUUGAAGAGUAAAUUAAUAACUUCAAGAUUAUUUUAUGUAUUUGAAGCUUAGGCAAAGGAGAGUCAAUGAUGCAUUAUCAGAAGACCAUAAAGGAUAUCAAUCUUGCAGACCUGGGAAACCAAGAUAAAUAAAAUGUAUGCUUUUCUAUCAUUCAUAGGGGUGCCCUGUGUGGGAUGUUUUGGCCGUUUUUAAACCUGACAAAAUCUGGCAAAGUUUGCCUUCUCUUGAGGUAUUCCUGGCCCUCCACCCUCCUGGCUUCCUGUAGAUUGCACCCACCCUUGUCCCAGAAGAAUGAAUUACUCACUUCCAGAGAAAAGAUAAUCAAAGUGUGGUAUAGAAUGACGCUGGAUGAGAAUGUUUGUUUCUCCAUAAUUCUGUAACGUCUUCGAGAGUUUGGAAUUUUAAUACCCCACCCUAGUUCACUUCCUAGCACAUAGUUGGUAUUCAAAUAAUUUCUUAAAGCAUAGUGUUCAAUAAAUCUUUAGAUAAAAAAAUUGUGAAAAGUAAAAAGUAUAUUUUAAUAGGAGUAAAACUAGACAUUAUGAUAGAAUCUGAAUAAAAAGGGAAGCAUGACCUUUAGCCUGGGGAAGAAUAUCCUAUAAGAAUUCCAUAGAAUAUCUCUUAGUAAAUGUAGUAAAAACACCCAUUGAUCAAAAGAAAUUGGAUCUAUGGCUCAUAAUAACAUCUCAUUGAUUGAAAAGCACUUUGUAAUAGCUUUCUUCCAUGUGAUAUCUGUCAGGCAUUAACCUUUCAGCCUCCUGAUCAUGUGAAAGGAAUUCUUUGCUUAUGCCACUGCUCAUAUGACCCCAUCCAUGACAUUUCAUAAAUUGCAUCUAUUGAACAGAGAUUUUGGGUUUUCUGGAACUGAAAAAUCCAUUGCCAAAGCAAGGCAUUUCUCUAUGGAUUGUAUGAUAGAAUUUAGCCAUAUGCUCUAGAGACCUGGAGCUAUUUUAGCAAACUUGACUACCUCUGAAAAAUGACUACUUACAAAGAGAUAAGUAAGUUUCAAAUUUUAGAACAUGUAGGGUUCACAUAGAAAUACAUUUAGAAGCAAUCAUAUAUUUAUUUACUCUUUUAAGGACACAUUUAAAAACAUAAAGUGUUCCUCUUAUUUAAAGCAAUGAGUUAAAAUUAUACCAAAUUCUGUACAUAAAAAAGUGAAUAUGCUAAUAAAAUAGUCCACCAAGUUUUAUUAUUAACACUAGGAAAUCAAUCUGCAUGUCCUAACAAAUAAAUAACAAAAUAGAUGAGCAUUUUAACAAAAUAUAAUCUCUUGUAAUUCCAGCUUCAAGCUUGUGUUGCUUUCUUAAGCAGAAAU